UCAGAGCUCGAAAAAAGAUAGCCAAGCCCAUCGAAAUCAGCCAAUUAAAUCAGGCCACCACAUAAUGUUAAACAUGCCAAUCACUUCGCACGACAGUAGAUGCCCUCAAGAGACGAAAGUGAAAGGAAAAGAAGCUAAUUUUCUCUUGAGAAUUGACGAUGAACAGUCAUAAAGAAUAUAAUCCUAGUUAAAAUUUGAAGCAAAGAUAAAACGGAUCGCUAUGAAAACAGCUGGAAGAGAACGAAAGAGGAGUAAGGAUAUUCAAAUGAAAGCAACAGACACAGCGUGUUUUUAUGGACUUACUUGUGCACACAUUCAAAAAUUUUUUGCCUUUUCUCUUAAAACUUUGCACGAAAAACUUUGUCUUAACAUUUUUGUUAGGCAAUGACUACCUUCAAUUUUUGCUGCUAGUAAACGAGUACUAGCUAAAAGUUUAGGAUAGAAAUGAUUAGACAAUAAA